ACUUUAUUUAUGCGGGUGUCCAUGCUCCUGCAGUCCUGUGGUGACCCUUUGGAGCUGGAUCCGUCCUCGUGGAAACACAGCCGGCUCAUCAGUCACAAAUCUCUUCUGAACCUGGAAGAUCUGACUGAAUGCAUGGGCAUGAGAGUUUGUACUCCAGAUUUAAUUCUACAUUUCACCUCGACAUAGCCAACGCACUUACAAAACCACAGGAUACUACCCGUGGUUCAGUGCAGGCAUCAGUUCCUCAAAAGGCCACGUGUGAACUUCUGGGCAGUGCCAUUAGAUGGCGUAUUCAGAAAGAAGCGUGGGAGGAGCCUGGUUGCCGCAUGCCGCGUUUCUUAGCGUUCGCACGCACCUGUGUGCCGUUGUCACGGUGUAGAUCUUUUUACCGUGCUAGGUUGUUUAACGUGGUCAAUACAGACUGAUUUAGGAAAUGAAUUAUGACGCGUAUGUUCUCUGUCGCACACUCACAAACAAUGCUAUAUAUCAAUUCGAUGACCUAUAACUGCUGACAAACGUAAAUAUGGAACACCUUUAAGUAUGGAGUCUCUAAACAGUCUGCAAACUACUGAAUCAAAUGAUUAUAAUGUUCACACAUCCCCCUCUGGUUCGGUGUGAGGCGUCGGACGAGGUCACGGCUGGAAUGUUGCAGACGAGUGGGCUGCUGCUGAGGUACCCCAGCUGGAGUUGAGAGGCGAGAAGAUGUGGCACGACGGGACAGGAACGUAAGCCUGGAGGGAAGGCCG